GAUGAACGCUGGCGGCGUGCCUAAUACAUGCAAGUCGAGCGAACGGACGAGAAGCUUGCUUCUCUGAUGUUAGCGGCGGACGGGUGAGUAACACGUGAUAACCUACCUAUUAGACUGGGGUAACUUCGGGAAAACGGAACUAAUACCGGGUGAUAUUUUUGACCGCCUGGUUCCAAAAUGAAAGACGGUUUUUGCGUUCACUAUUGGUUGAACCGCGCUGCAUUAGCUAGUUGGUAAGGUAACGGCUUACCAAGGCAACGAUGCAUAGCCGACCUGAGAGGGUGAUCGGCCACACUGGAACUGAGACACGGUCCAGACUCCUACGGGAGGCAGCAGUAGGGAAUCUUCCGCAAUGGGCGAAAGCCUGACGGAGCAACGCCGCGUGAGUGAUGAAGGUCUUCGGAUCGUAAAACUCUGUUAUUAGGGAAGAACAUAUGUGUAAGUAACUGUGCACAUCUUGACGGUACCUAAUCAGAAAGCCACGGCUAACUACGUG
rnacentral:rRNA from 1 species